AGGUCAUGAUAAGGACACUUUCGCAAUAAAUCCUCGUAUCUCUCCCAUGUCUCAUAUAAUGAUUCACCCUCACAUUGGGUGAAGGUAGUAAUAUCAUUCCUUAACUU